rnacentral:sRNA from 1 species
UAAAAACACAAAAAAAA